GAUGAACGCUGGCGGCGUGCCUAAUACAUGCAAGUCGAGCGAACAGACGAGGAGCUUGCUCCUCUGACGUUAGCGGCGGACGGGUGAGUAACACGUGGAUAACCUACCUAUAAGACUGGGAUAACUUCGGGAAACCGGAGCUAAUACCGGAUAAUAUAUUGAACCGCAUGGUUCAAUAGUGAAAGACGGUUUUGCUGUCACUUAUAGAUGGAUCCGCGCCGCAUUAGCUAGUUGGUAAGGUAACGGCUUACCAAGGCAACGAUGCGUAGCCGACCUGAGAGGGUGAUCGGCCACACUGGAACUGAGACACGGUCCAGACUCCUACGGGAGGCAGCAGUAGGGAAUGUUCGGCAAUGGGCGAAAGCCUGACGGAGCAACGCCGCGUGAGUGAUGAAGGUCUUCGGAUCGUAAAACUCUGUUAUUAGGGAAGAACAAAUGUGUAAGUAACUAUGCACGUCUUGACGGUACCUAAUCAGAAAGCCCCGGCUAACUACGUG
rnacentral:rRNA from 1 species